UGUUCCUUAUAACUGAGAAAAGAAACCAAUCUAUGUGACAAACAAGCAUAACUUCAGAAAUUCACUGCAGUCUACAAGUCCAAAAUCCCAAAGGGACUCAAAGUGGGCCUGAAGACAGCAGAGGACCAGUGAAUUAAGAUAGGAAGCAUUUUUGUGUUUAAAGAGUAAAAAAUUAAUAGAAACUAGAAACAUUUGUCUGGGAAAAAAAGCAAUGCCUGGAACACUUCCAUGGAAUUAAAUUCAAGACCUGAUUUUGAUGGAAGAUAUCACAAGAGAAGGUGCAAUGUUGAAUACCAAAAGAUACUCAGCUAUACUACUUAAUUGGAGAUGACUUGGAGUAGAAUAUUCCUGAAAAUUUGAAAAGAAAUAAAGAAGCAGAUGGAGAUUUUUCUCUGCAGAGGUCAGGAGUUCAAAGUAAAAACCCUUCUUCAAAAGCUUCUCUUCCUACAGAUUAAGCCCAUUACAUAGAAGCAGUGGAUAGCAGUACCUGAUGAUGAUGGGAGGACUCAGAAAAAAAGAACAUUUUUGUAAAGCUAAGAAUCUCAGGCAAGAACGUAAUUUCAGUGUUGAAAAAACACCAGUACAACAACCCAAACCCAUAAAGCAAAACAAACUAAAGAAAUGGUAGCCAACUCAACAAACCAAUACUGAUCUAGAUGGAUAAAGAACUAAUACUAUCUAGACUGAGAACAGUAACUUUGCUAUAAAUCA